GACGAAGGAUGCAAGCGUUAUCCGGAUUCAUUGGGGUUUAAAAGGGUGCGUAGGCGGACUUGUAAGUCAGUGGUGAAAUCUCUUUGGCUUAACAAAAGAAACUGCCUUGAUACUGCAGGUCUAGAGUAUAGAUGACGUUGGCGGAAUAUGACAUGUAGUGGUGAAAUACUUAGAUAUGUCAUAGAACACCGAUUGCGAAGGCGC
rnacentral:rRNA from 1 species